CGGUCUAUAGCUCAGUGGUAGAGCAUUUGAUUGCAGAUCAAGAGGACGAUGGUUCGAAUUCGGCUGGGCCUC
rnacentral:tRNA from 1 species